AACUCUAGAGAUAGAGCUUCUCCUUCGGGAGCAGAGUGACAGGUGGUGCAUGGUUGUCGUCAGCUCGUGUCGUGAGAUGUUGGGUUAAGUCCCGCAACGAGCGCAACCCUUGAUCUUAGUUGCCAUCAUUAAGUUGGGCACUCUAAGGUGACUGCCGGUGACAAACCGGAGGAAGGUGGGGAUGACGUCAAAUCAUCAUGCCCCUUAUGACCUGGGCUACACACGUGCUACAAUGGACGGUACAAAGAGCUGCAAGACCGCGAGGUGGAGCUAAUCUCAUAAAACCGUUCUCAGUUCGGAUUGUAGGCUGCAACUCGCCUACAUGAAGCUGGAAUCGCUAGUAAUCGCGGAUCAGCAUGCCGCGGUGAAUACGUUCCCGGGCCUUGUACACACCGCCCGUCACACCACGAGAGUUUGUAACACCCGAAGUCGGUGGGGUAACCUUUAUGGAGCCAGCCGCCUAAGGUGGGACAGAUGAUUGGGGUGAAGUCGUAACAAGGUAGCCGUAUCGGAAGGUGCGGCUGGAUCACCUCCUUUCUAUGGA
rnacentral:rRNA from 1 species